AAACCUUGACGAAUUAUCAGAUUAGAUCCAGGAAUCAGUCGGCACUCAAGCUUUAUAAAACCACAUCGGACUAGAGUUUGAUUAAACGCAAAUUUGAACUCAAAGAGAAAGAAGUUGCUAGCUCUCGGAGUUCGGAAGAACCACUACUCGAACUAAUUUUCAACAUGGACGCCAAGAAAAUCAUCAUUUUUGCUGUCAUUUCCUGCGUACUGCUAUCAGUAUGCAUUGACCAAACAUCUGCCCAAGGGGGGCUCCGGUGGGGACGAGAAUAUGAAGCAAUGAAUCAAAAGGAAGCUCCUCCAGUGGAAUGGCCCGACAUGAAGAGAAACUUCCUGAAAAAGAGAGCUUUCAAGUCCGAUGAACGAGCAUAGAAUGGGUUACAGCACCUAAUGUCCACAAGACGUUAUCGAACCAAAUUCAUAAAAAUGUCAAUAAUUCGUAGCUCAAUAAACAAACCAACACUGAAGUGUAUAUUAUUUUCUAGUGUAAGUGUGCAGAGAAAAUAAAAUUCUUGCCCUUGAAUCA